rnacentral:rRNA from 1 species
UACGGAGGGAGCUAGCGUUGUUCGGAAUUACUGGGCGUAAAGCGCAUGUAGGCGGCUUUGUAAGUUAGAGGUGAAAGCCCGGGGCUCAACUCCGGAACUGCCUUUAAGACUGCAUCGCUUGAAUCCAGGAGAGGUGAGUGGAAUUCCGAGUGUAGAGGUGAAAUUCGUAGAUAUUCGGAAGAACACCAGUGGCGAAGGCGGCUCACUGGACUGGUAUUGA